UACGUAGGUGGCAAGCGUUGUCCGGAUUUAUUGGGCUUAAAGGGUGCGUAGGCGGCUUUGUAAGUCAGUGGUGAAAUAUCGCAGCUUAACUGUCAGGGUGCCAUUGAUACUGCGGAGCUUGAGUACAGAUGAGGUAGGCGGAAUUGACGGUGUAGCGGUGAAAUGCUUAGAUAUCGUCAAGAACACCUAUAGCGAAGGCAGCUUACUAGGCUGUAACUGACGCUGAGGCACGAAAGUGUGGGGAUCAAACAGG
rnacentral:rRNA from 1 species